AGCGAACGCUGGCGGCAGGCUUAACACAUGCAAGUCGAACGGGCAUAGCAAUAUGUCAGUGGCAGACGGGUGAGUAACGCGUGGGAACGUACCUUUUGGUUCGGAACAACACAGGGAAACUUGUGCUAAUACCGGAUAAGCCCUUACGGGGAAAGAUUUAUCGCCGAAAGAUCGGCCCGCGUCUGAUUAGCUAGUUGGUAGGGUAAUGGCCUACAAAGGCGACGAUCAGUAGCUGGUCUGAGAGGAUGAUCAGCCACAUUGGGACUGAGACACGGCCCAAACUCCUACGGGAGGCAGCAGUGGGGAAUAUUGGGCAAUGGGCGAAAGCCUGAUCCAGCCAUGCCGCGUGAGUGAUGAAGGCCCUAGGGUUGUAAAGCUCUUUUGUGCGGGAAGAUAAUGACGGUACCGCAAGAAUAAGCCCCGGCUAACUUCGUG
rnacentral:rRNA from 1 species